AUGGUGUCAGUAAUUAACACCUCACAUGAGCACAUGACUCCUGAUGUGGACUAUUAUGACACCUGUCUAGCAACCUGCUCCUCAGAUAGAUCCAUCAAAAUUUUUGAUGUGCAAAUUAGAGGGCAGAUCCUCAUUGUGGACCUCAGAGGACCGGAGGGACCAGCGUGGCAAGUGGCCUGGGCCCACCCCAUGUAUGGCAAUAUAUCUUGACUUCCUGUUCCUUUGACCAAAAUGUCAUUAUCUGGAAUGAGGAAAACAGCCCUUGGGAGAAGACCCAUGAGCAUUCAGGCCAGGACUCCUCAGUGGACUCUGUUUUGCUGGGCCCUUCAUUACACUGGCCUGAUCCUGGUCUAUGGGAGUUCAGAUGGGGCCACCUCACUGCUGACCUACACAGAAGGCCAGUGGGAAGUGAAGAUUAACAAUGCUCACACGAUUGGCUGUAAUGCUGUCAGUUGGGCCCCAGCUGCUGGGCCUGGAAGCCUUAUAGACUAACCAUCAGGACAGAAACCUAAUUACAUCAAGAAGUUUGCAUCAGGUGGCUGUGACAACCUCAUCAAGCUGUGGAGGGAGGAGGAGGAUGGCCAGUGAAGGAGGAGCAAAAGCCAGAGGCACACAGAGAUUGGGUUCGAGACGUUGCCUGGGUCCCUCCAUUGGCUUGCCCACUAGCACCACUGCCAGCUGCUCUCAGGGUAAUUGAGUGUUUAUUUGGACCUGCCAUGAUGCCUCAGGCAACAUGUGGUCACCUAAACUCCUACACACGUUCAAUGAUGUUGUGUGGCACGUGAGCUGGUCCAUCACAACGAACAUCCUGGCUAUGUCAGGUGGAGACAGUAAGGUGACCCUGUGGAAAGAAUCUGUGGAUGUACAGUGGGUAUGCACCAGUGAUGUCAACAAGGGCCAGGGUUCUGGGUCAGCCUCCAUCACAGAGGCCCAAAGCACGAGCAGUGACGACACAGGAAGCCUGGCCUUCCUGUUACCUAUUCUGGAACAACCUCCAAACAACUGGGAAGAAGAGUCCCAGUGCUACCAAGAUUCUACACACAUGAGUGCCCACACGCAACACUGGCUGUCCACCUGCCUUACUGGGAUUCCACGUGUUUAG